GAAUGUCAGGGUGAUCUGGCUGUCACAUUUCACCCCAUUGAUUGCCAGGGUUGAUUCGGCUGAUGUGGCUGGUUAGGCAGAUGUCCCCUUCCUCCCUUACACUGCUCCAUGUGUAUCCCUCCUGAGUCUACACACUUGCUAGAAGAGGAUGACCGUUCCAGAUAGAAGGAGUGAUGAUGAAAGUA
rnacentral:snRNA from 1 species